GAUGAACGCUAGCGGGAGGCCUAAUACAUGCAAGUCGAGCGCACCUUCGGGUGAGCGGCGGACGGGUGAGUAACGCGUGGGAACGUGCCCUUUGGUACGGGAUAACUGAGGGAAACUUCAGCUAAUACCGUAUGUGCCCUACGGGGGAAAGAUUUAUCGCCAUUGGAGCGGCCCGCGUUGGAUUAGGUAGUUGGUGAGGUAAAGGCUCACCAAGCCUACGAUCCAUAGCUGGUCUGAGAGGAUGAUCAGCCACACUGGGACUGAGACACGGCCCAGACUCCUACGGGAGGCAGCAGUAGGGAAUCUUGCGCAAUGGGCGAAAGCCUGACGCAGCCAUGCCGCGUGAAUGAUGAAGGUCUUAGGAUUGUAAAAUUCUUUCACCGGGGAAGAUAAUGACGGUACCCGGAGAAGAAGCCCCGGCUAACUUCGUGCCAGCCGCCGCGGUAACAC
rnacentral:rRNA from 1 species